AGAGUUUGAUCCUGGCUCAGGACGAACGCUGGCGGCGUGCCUAAUACAUGCAAGUCGAGCGCGSGAAGCAAACGGAAUCCUUCGGGAGGAAGUUUGUGGAACGAGCGGCGGACGGGUGAGUAACACGUGGGCAACCUACCUGUAAGAUUGGGAUAACCCCGGGAAACCGGGGCUAAUACCAGAUAACACUUACCAUCUCAUGGUGGUAAGUUGAAAGGCGGCUAGGGUGAAAGUUUACUUUCAUCUCUGCUGUCACUUACAGAUGGGCCCGCGGCGCAUUAGCUAGUUGGUGAGGUAACGGCUCACCAAGGCAACGAUGCGUAGCCGACCUGAGAGGGUGAUCGGCCACACUGGGACUGAGACACGGCCCAGACUCCUACGGGAGGCAGCAGUAGGGAAUCUUCCGCAAUGGACGAAAGUCUGACGGAGCAACGCCGCGUGAGUGAUGAAGGUUUUCGGAUCGUAAAACUCUGUUGUUAGGGAAGAACAAGUACCGUUCGAAUAGGGCGGUACCAUGACGGUACCUAACCAGAAAGCCCCGGCUAACUACGUGCCAGCAGCCGCGGUAAUACGUAGGGGGCAAGCGUUGUCCGGAAUUAUUGGGCGUAAAGCGCUCGCAGGCGGUCUUUUAAGUCUGAUGUGAAAGCCCACGGCUCAACCGUGGAGGGUCAUUGGAAACUGGAGGACUUGAGUACAGAAGAGGAGAGUGGAAUUCCACGUGUAGCGGUGAAAUGCGUAGAGAUGUGGAGGAACACCAGUGGCGAAGGCGACUCUCUGGUCUGUAACUGACGCUGAGGAGCGAAAGCGUGGGGAGCGAACAGGAUUAGAUACCCUGGUAGUCCACGCCGUAAACGAUGAGUGCUAGGUGUUAGGGGGUUUCCGCCCCUUAGUGCUGAAGUUAACGCAUUAAGCACUCCGCCUGGGGAGUACGGCCGCAAGGCUGAAACUCAAAAGAAUUGACGGGGGCCCGCACAAGCGGUGGAGCAUGUGGUUUAAUUCGACGCAACGCGAAGAACCUUACCAGGUCUUGACAUCCUCUGCAAUCGGUAGAGAUACCGAGUUCCCUUCGGGGACAGAGUGACAGGUGGUGCAUGGUUGUCGUCAGCUCGUGUCGUGAGAUGUUGGGUUAAGUCCCGCAACGAGCGCAACCCUUGAUCUUAGUUGCCAGCAUUAAGUUGGGCACUCUAAGGUGACUGCCGGUGACAAACCGGAGGAAGGUGGGGAUGACGUCAAAUCAUCAUGCCCCUUAUGACCUGGGCUACACACGUGCUACAAUGGAUGGAACAGAGGGAAGCGAAGCCGCGAGGUGAAGCAAAUCCCAUAAAACCAUUCUCAGUUCGGAUUGCAGGCUGCAACUCGCCUGCAUGAAGCCGGAAUCGCUAGUAAUCGCGGAUCAGCAUGCCGCGGUGAAUACGUUCCCGGGCCUUGUACACACCGCCCGUCACACCACGAGAGUUAGUAACACCCGAAGUCGGUGAGGUAACCWUUAUGGAGCCAGCCGCCGAAGGUGGGACCAAUGAUUGGGGUGAAGU
rnacentral:rRNA from 1 species